UGUGUAGGCGGUCUUGUAAGUCAGGGGUGAAAUCUCUCGGCUUAACCGAGAAACUGCCUUUGAGACUGCAGGACUUGAGGGCGUGAGAGGAGACUGGAAUUCCUAGUGUAGCGGUGAAAUGCAUAGAUAUUAGGAGGAACACCAGUGGCGAAGGCGAGUCUCUGGCACGCAUCUGACGCUGAAAACACGAAAGGCCCAGGGGGGCAACG
rnacentral:rRNA from 1 species